ensembl:lncRNA
GGGCACUGCGGCCCAUGAACGCAUCAUCUACCUACCAUGAGAGAGAAAGUGCCCCAUGUUCUGGGGUACCCAUGGUAUUGGGGUAGAUGAGUGGGUGGAGGAGGUACAGGCCAGUAUGAGGGCUAGCCAUUUGGGUCCCAAUGAUCAGGCCAGCUUCAUUUUUGAUCAUCUAGAGGGUGAAGCUAUGGAUGAAAAUGAAGUAUAGACCACGUAUCGAACGUGAGGACCCAGACCGUGUUUUUACAAUUUUAAAGGAUCUCUAUGGGUGUUCAAAGUCUUGUGUCUUUGCAGGAAGACUUCUUUUCUAGAAACCAGUUAGAGGGAGAAUCCCUGCAAGAGUAUUCUCAUGCCCUAUAUUACUUGAUGGAUAAAGCUGUUGCUUGUGCCCCUAAUAGAAUGUCUAACUCUUCUAUUCUGUUGCAAGACCAGUUUGUGGAGAAUGUGCAGCGCUCAGAUCUUCGCAGGGAGUUAAAGAGGCUGGUCCAUGCUGACUCCACACUGUCCCUACUCGAUGUACGUGCGGAGGCUAUUGGAUGGGAACAUGAGGGCAGCCCUGCUAAUGGUAAAUGCCAUUUUAUUUCCCCUUUUUGUGCUGUGCAGAGCUCUGGUGUUCAUUGUAAUGUUGAUUGCCCUCCUAGCAGUUCCAUCACUGAGCAACUUGCAGCCUUGACUGCUUUAGUUCAUAAGCAGCAGGAGCAACUUAAUCAACUCACUGAGGCCCUUAAGGUGAGGCAAGCGCCCCUGGACCCCAGCCCGGGUCGUCCUACUAACGUUGUGUGUGGACUGUCAACAAACAGGCCAUUAUGCCAGAGAAUGUGAUAAUGCACAUGUCUCUUCUGGCCCUAUUAAUCCUUCACGUCCAGCCUGAAUCCAUGUUGCUGCUUUUCAGCCAGCGGGCAACUAGAGCCCCCUAGUGUGCAGAGCCAAACACUAGGUGGGGGGCUGGCAGGCUCCACAGACCCUAGCUCAGUAGAUGAGGCACUGAUGGCUCGGUUAAUUGCCCCUUGUCCCCAAGUGGACAUUAAAAUGGCAGGUGUUGAGGUUAGGUGUGUGUGUUAGAUACAGGGUCCAUGGUAUCUACCAUUAGAGUGUUUUUUUUUUUUUUUUUUUUUUUUUUUUAAAAACACUUUCAGGACAAGUUGAAGCCCUGUCACUGGUUGCAACUUCGGGCUGCUAACGGUUUGGGGAUUCCCUAUGUAGGUUACAUGGAACCCGAUGUCGAGGUGUUGGGCCACUUUAUUCCAAGAAGAGGUGUGUUGGUAGUGAAAGACCCCCUGAGCUUGCAGUCUUGUCUGAAGUCCCAGGGAUUUUUUGGAAUGAACAUUAUUAAAGCUCGUUAUGACUAUCUCUUUUCAGAGCAUGGCCCCAAGCUGUUUGACCUCCCUUGUGUAUCCGGUGCCCCAGAGCCAUGGUUGAGGGCCCUCCAGUUGUGCCAUCAGGCUGAAA